CGCCUCUUUCCCUCAUGUUCGUUUCCAACCUAGAGCAGCACUUCUGUUACGUUCCUCUUUUUCUCCCUAAACCUCAAUCCUUAAAUUGAAAAUUCCCAAUUAGCCCAAUCCUGUUAGGCUCCAGCCUCCGGCGAGGACAGUGCUCAGAUGACGGGCAGUUCAAGCCGGGCUGCACCUCAGGCGGACCGCGCGGCACGGACUACAAACGUACGCCAGUGCGGGGACGACGGCAAUUCCAAUGGGGCUUCAACUCCGGCAGACAUGUGACGGAGGCUCGACCAAGAGACGUCAGACAACCAGGUCCGCUAAUCUACACCCUCUUGCCAUCUUCUGGUACUGUCUAUGUACGACUCGGCAUGGAUUUUGGACUUAAUUUGUUGUCGACUCAAUGUAAUCUCUGAUAGUGACUUGUGUCUUGUUAAUUUAUCAUUGAAUUUUGUGUUUAUUUAUGUACAGCUAUCACUAUUGUGAACUAAUUAAGAUUGUCGUGGUUUUUUCUUUGUGAACAUUAGCACUUAUUUUUUUCAUAAUAUGUAUUUACAUAUUCGUUACCUGCGGUCGGCAUACUAUAAUCAUGCACAGGCUUUGACGAAGCACUAGCUCUGCCUUUGCAGAAAUAUACAUUGUAAUUCUAC
rnacentral:lncRNA from 1 species